rnacentral:rRNA from 1 species
AGUGAACGCUGGCGGUAGGCCUAACGCAUGCAAGUCGAACGGCAGCACAGUAAGAUCUUGCUCUUACGGGUGGCGAGUGGCGGACGGGUGAGGAAUACAUCGGAAUCUACUUUUUCGUGGGGGAUAACGUAGGGAAACUUACGCUAAUACCGCAUACGACCUACGGGUGAAAGCAGGGGAUCUUCGGACCUUGCGCGAUUGAAUGAGCCGAUGUCGGAUUAGCUAGUUGGCGGGGUAAAGGCCCACCAAGGCGACGAUCCGUAGCUGGUCUGAGAGGAUGAUCAGCCACACUGGAACUGAGACACGGUCCAGACUCCUACGGGAGGCAGCAGUGGGGAAUAUUGGACAAUGGGCGCAAGCCUGAUCCAGCCAUACCGCGUGGGUGAAGAAGGCCUUCGGGUUGUAAAGCCCUUUUGUUGGGAAAGAAAAGCAGCAGGUUAAUACCCCGCUGUUCUGACGGUACCCAAAGAAUAAGCACCGGCUAACUUCGUG